UACAGAGGUCUCAAGCGUUGUUCGGAUUCAUUGGGCGUAAAGGGUGCGUAGGCGGCGUGGUAAGUCGGAUGUGAAAUCUCGGAGCUUAACUCCGAAACUGCAUUCGAUACUGCCGUGCUUGAGGACUGGAGAGGAGACUGGAAUUUACGGUGUAGCGGUGAAAUGCGUAGAUAUCGUAAGGAAGACCAGUGGCGAAGGCGGGUCUCUGGACAGUUCCUGACGCUGAGGCACGAAGGCCCAGGGGAGCAAAACGGGG
rnacentral:rRNA from 1 species